UACGGAGGGGGCUAGCGUUGUUCGGAAUUACUGGGCGUAAAGGGCGCGUAGGCGGCCGAGCAAGUUAGAUGUGAAAGUCCUGGGCUUAACCUGGGGACUGCAUUUGAUACUGCUUGGCUUGAAUUCGGGAGAGGAUAGCGGAAUUCCCAGUGUAGAGGUGAAAUUCGUAGAUAUUGGGAAGAACACCGGUGGCGAAGGCGGCUAUCUGGACCGACAUUGACGCUGAGGCGCGAAAGCGUGGGGAGCAAACAGG
rnacentral:rRNA from 1 species